AGUGAACGCUGGCGGCAGGCCUAACACAUGCAAGUCGAACGGCAGCACAGUAAGAGCUUGCUCUUACGGGUGGCGAGUGGCGGACGGGUGAGGAAUACAUCGGAAUCUACUUUUUCGUGGGGGAUAACGUAGGGAAACUUACGCUAAUACCGCAUACGACCUACGGGUGAAAGCAGGGGAUCUUCGCACCUUGCGCGAUUGAAUGAGCCGAUGUCGGAUUAGCUAGUUGGCGGGGUAAAGGCCCACCAAGGCGACGAUCCGUAGCUGGUCUGAGAGGAUGAUCAGCCGCACUGGAGCUGAGACACGGUCCAGACUCCUACGGGAGGCAGCAGUGGGGAAUAUUGGACAAUGGGCGCAAGCCUGAUCCAGCCAUACCGCGUGGGUGAAGAAAGCCUUCGGGUUGUAAAGCCCUUUUGUUGGGAAAGAAAAGCAGCAGGUUAAUACCCCGCUGUUCUGACGGUACCCGAAGAAUAAGCACCGGCUAACUUCGUG
rnacentral:rRNA from 1 species